GACGAACGCUGGCGGCGUGCUUAACACAUGCAAGUCGAACGGUGACGGAGAGCUUGCUCUCCUGAUCAGUGGCGAACGGGUGAGUAACACGUGGGCAACCUGCCCCUGACUUCGGGAUAACGCUCCGAAAGAGGUGCUAAUACCGGAUACGAACCCCGCAGGCAUCUGCGGGCUUGGAAAGUUCCUCGGUCAGGGAUGGGCCCGCGGCCUAUCAGCUUGUUGGUGAGGUAACGGCUCACCAAGGCGACGACGGGUAGCCGGCCUGAGAGGGCGACCGGCAAAACGGUGACUGAGACACGGCCCAGACUCCUACGGGAGGCAGCAGGGGGGAAUAUUGCGCAAUGGGCGAAAGCCUGACGCAGCAACGCCGCGUGAGGGAUGAAGGCCUUCGGGUUGUAAACCUCUUUCAGCAGGGAAGAAGCGAAAGUGACGGUACCUGCAGAAGAAGCACCGGCUAACUACGUGCCAGCCGCCGCAGUAA
rnacentral:rRNA from 1 species